rnacentral:lncRNA from 1 species
CACAGGGUGCUUUUUUACCGUCUUUUGUGGUAAUUCAGCCCCGCGGUGGUGUUCGCCAGCUAGGCUAAAGCGAUUAAUCUGUUUUUUUUUUUUCUUCACGCGAUUUUUCUCUCAGGAAGAAGUACUGCUUCGCAGGGCCCAGCGCUUGCUAGGAAAAGUGAGAAAAACAGCCAGAAAGAGAGAAUCUUGGAAGCUCACAACAUGCAGAAAACUGAAGAAGAAAAAUAUCUUCAGCAGGCCAAGAAAAGAGAAGAAAUACUAGCUUUGCUGAGGAAACAGAGAGAACAAAGGAUUGCGAAAGAAUUGAUUUCUCAUCCAUAUAAACCAAAGACCAAAAC